GGCAGACGAUUGAGUGUGAGGUCAGCCUGGUCUUCAGGGUAAGUUCCAGGACAGCCAAGGCUACACAGAGAAACCCUGUCUCACAAAACAAGUAUUUCGUGUGUACCAGUGUCUCACACGUGCCUGUGGCUUUGGAUUCGUGUGUACCAGUGCCUCACACGUGUGCCUGUGGCUUUGGAUUCGUGUGUACCAGUGCCUCACACGUGUGCCUGUGGCUUUGGAUUCGUGUGUACCAGUGCCUCACACGUGUGCCUGUGGCUUUGGAUUCGUGUGUACCAGUGUCUCACACGUGUGCCUGUGGCUUCGGAUUCGUGUGUACCAGUGUCUCACACGUGUGCCUGUGGCUUCGGAUUCGUGUGUACCAGUGUCUCACACGUGUGCCUGUGGCUUUGGAUUCGUGUGUACCAGUGUCUCACACGUGUGCCUGUGGCUUUGGAUUCGUGUGUACCAGUGUCUCACACGUGUGCCUGUGGCUUUGGAUUCGUGUGUACCAGUGUCUCACACGUGCCUGUGGCUUUGGCUUCACUGGGAAUUGCAGGUGUUGUGAACCUCCAUGUUGGUGCUGGAAAUGGAACCUGGGUCCCCUGAAAGAGUAUUCAGUUCUCUUAGCCCCUCUCUGGUUUCUGAACCACCUCUGCCCCCAAGUCUGUUUGCAGCAUGUCCUGAGGUCUUGAAGGUCGGCUUGUGUUCAUCACACGCAAGAGUGUUCAGGGUCUCUCUGGCCCUGGGAGUGACUGCCUCUGGGGUGCAACGCUGGGGUUCCCCUGCCACCUUUUGGCAUGGCCUCUAAUGGGUAUUUUCCUUCUACCAGAACCAACAUCCCCAGCAAUAGGGUAGCUGAAGGGCAGGAGAGCUGCCCCUACCUCCCCCCCUUCCCUGCUCGAGGCUCUGGCUUCCACCGCUUUGCCUUCUUGCUCUUCAAGCAGGACAAGCCAAUCAACUUCUCCGAGGACACCCGUCCCUCACCCUGCUACCAGCUGGCCCAGAGGACCUUCCACACCCUUGAUUUCUACAAGAAACACCAGGAAGCCAUGACUCCAGCUGGUCUGGCUUUCUUCCAGUGCCG
rnacentral:lncRNA from 1 species